rnacentral:rRNA from 1 species
UACGUAGGGUGCGAGCGUUAAUCGGAAUUACUGGGCGUAAAGCGUGCGCAGGCGGUUUGUUAAGCCAGAUGUGAAAGCCCCGGGCUCAACCUGGGAACUGCGUUUGGUACUGGCAAGCUAGAGUACGGCAGAGGGGGGUGGAAUUCCACGUGUAGCAGUGAAAUGCGUAGAGAUGCGGAGGAAUACCGAUGGCGAAGGCAGCCCCCUGGGCUAACACUGACGCUCAUGCACGAAAGCGUGGGGAGCAAACAGG